rnacentral:rRNA from 1 species
UACAGGGGGUGCAAACGUUGCUCGGAAUUAUUGGGCGUAAAGCGCGCGUAGGCGGCUACUUAAGUCGGAUGUGAAAGCCCCUGGCUCAACUGGGGAAGUGCACCCGAAACUGAGUGGCUUGAGUACUAAAGAGGGUCGCGGAAUUCCCGGUGUAGAGGUGAAAUUCGUAGAUAUCGGUAGGAACACCGGUGGCGAAGGCGGCGACCUGGGUCGAGACUGACGCUGAGGUGCGAAAGCGUGGGGAGCGAACAGG